AGAAGCAAGUGGUGGAGUUGGCCAAGUCUUGAAGUAUAAUCAUCUAUCUCAUCGUGCAUGCAUUUUAGCGUUUCUUUCUCACUCUUUUCUCAUUCUGCAUGCACACGCCUUCUCUCCAUCUUCCACACCCUCUCUUUCUUUCUUCUCACUUUCUCUCCGGUCACCGCCGAUUCAAUCCCUCCUUAACCACUUCUCUCCGGUCAGAUUCCGACGAACUUCAACUCAACACUCUCUUUUCCAUCCCGCCACACAAAUGAAAAUCCUAACCAACCACCACACGCGCCGCGUCAACUUAUUUCCCUAA